rnacentral:rRNA from 1 species
AGUGAACGCUGGCGGUGGGCCUAACACAUGCAAGUCGAACGGCAGCACAGGAGAGCUUGCUCUCUAGGUGGCGAGUGGCGGACGGGUGAGGAAUACAUCGCAUUCUGCUCAGUCGUGGGGGAUAACGUAGGGAAACUUACGCUAAUACCGCAUACGACCUGCGGGAGAGAGAGGGGGAUAGCAAGACCUCUCGCGAUUGGAUGAGCCGAUGUCGGUUUAGAUAGUUAGCGGGGUAAUGGCCCACCAAGGCGACGAUCCGUCGCUGGUCUGAGAGGAUGAUCGGCCACAUUGGAACUGAGACACGGUCCAGAGGCCUACGGGAGGCAGCAGUGGGGAAUAGUGGACAGUGGGCGGAAGCCUGAUCCAGUCAUACCGCGUGGGUGAAGAAGGCCUUCGGGUUGUAAAGCCCUUUUGCUGGGAAAGAAAUCUUUCAGGCUAAUACCCUGGGAGGGUGACGGUACCGAAAGAAUAAGCACCGGCUAACUUCGUG